rnacentral:rRNA from 1 species
UACGUAGGGGGCAAGCGUUGUCCGGAUUUAUUGGGCGUAAAGCGCACGCAGGCGGUCUUAUAAGUUCCGAGUGACAGGUGGGGGCUCAACUCCCACAGGCCUCGAAAAACUGCAAGACUUGAGGAUGAGAGAGGGAUGCGGAAUUCCAGGUGGAGCGGUGAAAUGCGUAGAGAUCUGGAAGAACACCAAAGGCGAAGGCAGCAUCCUGGAUCACCCCUGACGCUCAUGUGCGAAAGCUAGGGGAGCGAACGGG